rnacentral:rRNA from 1 species
AGUGAACGCUGGCGGUAGGCCUAACACAUGCAAGUCGAACGGCAGCACAGUAAGAGCUUGCUCUUACGGGUGGCGAGUGGCGGACGGGUGAGGAAUACAUCGGAAUCUACUUUUUCGUGGGGGAUAACGUAGGGAAACUUACGCUAAUACCGCAUACAACCUACGGGUGAAAGCAGGGGAUCUUCGGACCUUGCGCGAUUGAAUGAGCCGAUGUCGGAUUAGCUAGUUGGCGGGGUAAAGGCCCACCAAGGCGACGAUCCGUAGCUGGUCUGAGAGGAUGAUCAGCCACACUGGAACUGAGACACGGUCCAGACUCCUACGGGAGGCAGCAGUGGGGAAUAUUGGACAAUGGGCGCAAGCCUGAUCCAGCCAUACCGCGUGGGUGAAGAAGGCCUUCGGGCUGUAAAGCCCUUUUGUUGGGAAAGAAAAGCAGCAGGUUAAUACCCCGCUGUUCUGACGGUACCCAAAGAAUAAGCACCGGCUAACUUCGUG